rnacentral:rRNA from 1 species
AACGAACGCUGGCGGCAGGCUUAACACAUGCAAGUCGAACGCAUCGCAAGAUGAGUGGCAGACGGGUGAGUAACGCGUGGGAAUCUACCCAGUUCUACGGAACAACAGUUGGAAACGACUGCUAAUACCGUAUACGCCCUACGGGGGAAAGAUUUAUCGGAAUUGGAUGAGCCCGCGUAAGAUUAGCUAGUUGGUGGGGUAAUGGCCUACCAAGGCGACGAUCUUUAGCUGGUCUGAGAGGAUGAUCAGCCACACUGGGACUGAGACACGGCCCAGACUCCUACGGGAGGCAGCAGUGGGGAAUAUUGGACAAUGGGCGCAAGCCUGAUCCAGCCACGCCGCGUGAGUGAUGAAGGCCUUAGGGUUGUAAAGCUCUUUCACCGAUGAAGAUAAUGACGGUAGUCGGAGAAGAAGCCCCGGCUAACUUCGUGCCAGCAGCCGCGGUAACAC